rnacentral:rRNA from 1 species
AGCGAACGCUGGCGGCAGGCUUAACACAUGCAAGUCGAGCGGGCAUCCUUGUGGUGUCAGCGGCAGACGGGUGAGUAACGCGUGGGAACGUGCCCUUUGGUUCGGAAUAACUCAGGGAAACUUGAGCUAAUACCGGAUACGCCCUUUUGGGGAAAGGCUUGCUGCCGAAGGAUCGGCCCGCGUCUGAUUAGCUUGUUGGUGAGGUUAUGGCUCACCAAGGCGACGAUCAGUAGCUGGUCUGAGAGGAUGAUCAGCCACACUGGGACUGGGACACGGCCCAGACUCCUACGGGAGGCAGCAGUGGGGAAUAUUGGACAAUGGGGGCAACCCUGAUCCAGCCAUGCCGCGUGAGUGAUGACGGCCUUAGGGUUGUAAAGCUCUUUUCUCCGGGACGAUAAUGACGGUACCGGAGGAAUAAGCCCCGGCUAACUUCGCGCCAGCCGCCGCCGUAACAC